rnacentral:rRNA from 1 species
GACAGAGGGUGCAAACGUUGUUCGGAAUUACUGGGCGUAAAGCGUGUGUAGGCGGUCCCGUAAGUCGGGUGUGAAAGCCCAGGGCUCAACCCUGGAAGUGCACUCGAAACUGUGGGGCUAGAGUACCGGAGAGGUUGGUGGAAUUCUCGGUGUAGAGGUGAAAUUCGUAGAUAUCGAGAGGAACACCGGUGGCGAAGGCGGCCAACUGGACGAGUACUGACGCUGAGACACGAAAGCGUGGGGAG